rnacentral:misc_RNA from 1 species
UUUACAGUGAGUGGGAAACAAAG